rnacentral:lncRNA from 1 species
UAAAAAGAUUGCACAUUAAUAUAUUAGAUGGAAUAGAGUUUUGAUACACAACGCAAUCAGCCAGACUGGCUUAUGCCAAGGAAAGAAAGAAAAUGUCAACAAAAGCUGUACUACGGCGGUUAAGCAUAACUCCGAUUGGCGGAAAGGGGAAGAGCCAUACUACACUCCAAGAAAACUCCAAACGUAGCACAAACACUUGUUUUUCACUUCACUUUUGGCACACUUUAACAAAUGCUGAUUACAUUGGUUAAAUAGACCACACACACGCACAGGUUAAGCCACGUCUUGCCGCACAAACCGGCAAGCACCUCUCGUGGAUUAUCCUCUAAUCACCUUCCUACAUGCAAGGCACAACUCGCUGCAUGCAGAGCACCACUAAAUCACUAACCAACACAUGCAUGAGCCAUCUGAUCCAGUCUUCUCGCCAAGAAUCCAUGCUUCACUUGCAUGCAGAUCAUGGCCUCCCUGGUCAAACUAAAUCACACAUACUAUUGACCUGCUCACUGCUCAGUACACACAUGGAAAAACUAACGUGGACACAAACCACUAAUUAGCUAAACACGACUUGAUAGGAUGAAAAAAAACACAAACGACAAGAUUAAGUCUAACAAUCACCCCCUAAUCUUGUUGUCUUUAUUCUGCACCUCCACAUGGUCUUCACAGCAAAGUGGGUUCAUCAUCUGCGUCGGCAAUAGCAAGCUGCACCACUGCCUUGGUCAUUUUCCGCGGCUCGUCACACUCGUCGGCGAAGUGUCCGAACUUGCCACACCUGUGACACUCAAUCUUCGACUUGUCGAACUUGCCGCGAAACUUCUUCUCACCAACACCGUUGCUACCGGAGCCACCACUGCUCUCUUCAGCAACCUUCGCCUCCCACUCAGCACGCGUCAGCCGUGGCUCGGCACACGCGGCCAACAACUGCUGCUCCCCCUCUUUGUCACGUCGUUGCCCCUUUGAAGACUCCUCGAACGCCCGCAAACGCCCGAUCGUCUCCGUCACCGUCAUCUCCGACACAUCCCCCCAUUGCUCGAUGGUGCUUAUGAGGGGUUGGAACUUGUCGGGAACGGAAUGCAAGAGCUUCUCCACCACCGUGGUCUCCUCCACUUUCGUGCCGAGAGAGCGAAUCUCGUUCACGAUCGUGGUAACCUUUAAAGCAAAAUCAUUAAUUUUCUCAGAAUUACUCAUGUACAUACCAUCAAGCUCCCUCUUGAGGGUUUGUACUCGAGCCUUCUUGACACGCUCUUCACCCAUGUUCAUCUGCUUGAGGGCAUCCCACGCCUCCUUCGCCGUCUCCUUCUCGGAUAUGGCCAUCACCACGGCCUCCGGCACAGCUUGGACAAUGGCGGCGAGAGCCAUUUGGUCGAUCUUCUCAUCGGCUGCGUCGCCCUCCACAGCAGCCCACACCCCUUGUGCGUGCAUGAAAAUUUUCAUUUUCACCGCCCAAAUGCCGUAGUUGUUCUCCCCGAGCAUGGGGUAACGUAGCGUCACCCCUGCCUCCUUCACUUGCUGCACCACUAGCUUGCUGUUGUCGUCGUCGCCGGCAACAGCCUUGCUGCCAUCGCCGAUCUUCGGCAUCUCUCGAACGAGGUUCUGAUACCACUUGUCAGCCCAAACACUCACUCGCACACACACCUCUCUCUUUCUCACUUGAUAAAACACACACAGAGAGAUGAUGAACUGACGGAGGAAGAAGAUGAACAGUACGCAAGGAUUUCCACGCUGCACACCAGCGCACACAGCACAAACACUUGUUUUUCACUUCACUUUUGGCACACUUUAACAAAUGCUGAUUACAUUGGUUAAAUAGACCACACACACGCACAGGUUAAGCCACGUCUUGCCGCACAAACCGGCAAGCACCUCCCGUGGAUUAUCCUCUAAUCACCUUCUUACAUGCAAGGCACAACUCGCUGCAUGCAGAGCACCACUAAAUCACUAACCAACACAUGCAUGAGCCGUCUGAUCCAGUCUUCUCGCCAAGAAUCCAUGCUUCACUUGCAUGCAGAUCAUGGCCUCCCUGGUCAAACUAAAUCACACAUACUAUUGACCUGCUCACUGCUCAGUACACACAUGGAAAAACUAACGUGGACACAAACCACUAAUUAGCUAAACACAACUUGAUAGGAUGAAAAAAAACACAAACGACAAGAUUAAGUCUAACAUAUAGGCCCUUCGAAUUGGUUAAAACUGAGAUCAACAGACUCUAUAUCAACGGGAAGAGCGUUGCAUCCUACGCUGCUGAAUUUGUUGUGUGAUAUGUUUAGGAGAACCAACUGGCUCCAGGUUUCCCAUGCCCAUUGAGGUAUAGCGCCAGGGAUUUUAUUGUCUGAAAGGUCAAGAUAAUGAAUAAAACUCAUGUGCCUCAAGGCAUCAGGGAACUUGGACAUGUUACAUGAUGCUAGACGCAAUAUGUCCAUAUUAUUAACAUGCGAAGAGUUAACGUCACCAUCUACUACGGUGAGUCUGUUGCCUGAAAGAUUCAAACUAAAGAGGUGAGGUAGUUUCCAGAAUGAGCUGAGCUCCACAGUACCAGUGAGGUUGUUCGAAUGGAGAUACAUUACUUUUAAGUGAGUUAGAUUGAAAAUGUGUGGCGAUAUUGUACCAUAAAAAUUGCACCUAUACAAUUCUAAUCUAGUUAGGUUCUUGAGAUUACCUAU